AUCUGCCUAUGCAGCUGCGAGCCGGGCUUUCGGGAGCUGGGUCGAUCAAGCUCUGGUUGUGGGAAGCUUCCGUGGUAUUGGUUCAAGCCGGCAGUAAGACCACCACCGGACAUGGGAAUCUAUUUUCCGGGAAGACAUCUAAACAAUGCAGUAGCAGAUUUGUCGAAGCCUAUCGUCCUCAAUGCUUUAAACAACCUCUUGGCGAAAGGGUACAGGUCGUUUGGGGUGAUGAAUAUGUUUGGGCCACCCGAGCUACUUUCUGGUCAGAAUGGCAUCGCCCUGGGACGUCUUUUCGAUGUUGCUUUGAGGAGUAUGCGAAGAUGAAAGCAUGCAGGAAAGGCAGGAGCCUCUGUGAACUGCCUCUCAUACGACUGGCGAAGAUAGUAACAGUACUACCAUGAGGAGUAGCUUCUCAAAGAAAACAAAAAGGAGUCUCCAAAUGAAGAACUGAUUGAUGCAGACGUACCCAUAUCUAAUGGAUGCCAGAAGGGUACGUAGUUUGUCUGUAUCACUACUAAAUAAUUAGCAUCCAUGCUUGCUUGUGU